AGCUACGUGCACUGUUUCUUGAAUUUCAAGGGGUUUCUGGCGUGCCAAGCCCAUAGAGUAGCGCAUAAAUUAUGGACCCAAGGUAGAAAUGUUUUAGCUAUAUUGAUACAAAACAGAGUAUCUGAGGCUUUUGCAGUCGAUAUUCAUCCAGGAGCAAGGAUUGGACAUGGUAUAUUACUCGAUCAUGCUACAGGAGUAGUUGUUGGAGAGACUGCUGUGAUUGGG
rnacentral:misc_RNA from 1 species